AUCUGGGAAGACCAACUUGCCGUACCAGAGGAAUCAGCAUCGGCUAACUCCGUGCCAGCAGCCGCGGUAAUACGGAGGAUCCAAGCGUUAUCCGGAAUUAUUGGGCGUAAAGCGUCCGCAGGGGGCUGUUCAAGUCUGCUGUCAAAGACCGGGGUUUAACCCCGGAAAGCCAGUGGAAACUGAACAGCUAGAGUGCGGUAGGGGCAGAGGGAAUUCCCGGUGUAGCGGUGAAAUGCGUAGAGAUCGGGAAGAACACCGGUGGGGAAAGCGCUCUACUGGACCACAACUGACACUCAGGGACGAAAGCUAGGGGAGCGAAUGGGAUUAGAUACCCCAGUAGUCCUAGCCGUAAACGAUGGAUACUAGGUGUGGCGUGUAUGCGACCCGAUCCGUGCCGUAGCUAACGCUUAAGUAUCCCGCUGGGGAGUACG
rnacentral:rRNA from 1 species